rnacentral:rRNA from 1 species
AGAGUUUGAUCAUGGCUCAGAGUGAACGCUGGCGGCGUGCCUAAUACAUGCAAGUCGAACGAUGAAGCUCUAGCUUGCUAGAGUGGAUUAGUGGCGCACGGGUGAGUAAUGUGUAGCUAAUCUGCCCUAUAGAAGGGGACAACAGUUGGAAACGACUGCUAAUACCCUAUACUCCGCUUUAACAUAAGUUAAAUCGGGAAAGUUUUUCGCUAUAGGAUGAGGCUACAUUGUAUCAGCUAGUUGGUAAGGUAAUGGCUUACCAAGGCUAUGACGCAUAACUGGUCUGAGAGGAUGAUCAGUCACAUUGGAACUGAGACACGGUCCAAACUCCUACGGGAGGCAGCAGUAGGGAAUAUUGCGCAAUGGGGGAAACCCUGACGCAGCAACGCCGCGUGGAGGAUGACACUUUUCGGAGCGUAAACUCCUUUUCUUAUGGAAGAAAUUUGACGGUACAUAAGGAAUAAGCACCGGCUAACUCCGUGCCAGCAGCCGCGGUAAUACGGAGGGUGCAAGCGUUGUCCGGAUUUAUUGGGCGUAAAGCGAGCGCAGGCGGUCUUUUAAGUCUGAUGUGAAAGCCUCCGGCUUAACCGGAGAGGGUCAUUGGAAACUGGGAGACUUGAGUGCAGAAGAGGAAAGUGGAACUCCAUGUGUAGCGGUGGAAUGCGUAGAUAUAUGGAAGAACACCAGUGGCGAAGGCGGCUUUCUGGUCUGUAACUGACGCUGAGGCUCGAAAGCGUGGGGAGCAAACAGGAUUAGAUACCCUGGUAGU